rnacentral:rRNA from 1 species
UGGGGAAUUUUGGACAAUGGGCGAAAGCCUGAUCCAGCAAUGCCGCGUGUAGGAUGAAGGCCCUCGGGUUGUAAACUACUUUUGUACGGAACGAAAAGACUCUUUCUAAUAAAGAGGGUCCAUGACGGUACCGUAAGAAUAAGCACCGGCUAACUACGUGCCAGCAGCCGCGGUAAUACGUAGGGUGCAAGCGUUAAUCGGAAUUACUGGGCGUAAAGCGUGCGCAGGCGGUUAUGUAAGACAGAUGUGAAAUCCCCGGGCUCAGCCUGGGAGCUGCGUUUGUGACUGCAUAACUAGAGUACGGUAGAGGGGGAUGGAAUUCCGCGUGUAGCAGUGAAAUGCGUAGAUAUGCGGAGGAACACCGAUGGAGAAGGCAAUCCCCUGGACCUGUAAUGACGCUAAUGCACGAAAGCGUGGGGAGCAAACA